GCCCUGUUAGCUCAGUUGGUAGAGCACAAGGCUCUUCAUCUCAGGGUUGUGGAUUCCAGCCCCACAUUGGACA